rnacentral:tRNA from 1 species
UGUCCGGUGGUGUAACGGUAGCACACGGGCCUUUGGAGCCUUUGGUCCUGGUUCGAAUCCAGGCCGGACAGCCA